rnacentral:rRNA from 1 species
AUGCAAGUAGAACGCUGAAGGAGGAGCUUGCUCUCUCUGGAUGAGUUGCGAACGGGUGAGUAACGCGUAGGUAACCCGCCUGGUAGCGGGGGAUAACUAUUGGAAACGAUAGCUAAUACCGCAUAACAGUAGAUGUUGCAUGACAUUUGCUUAAAAGGUGCAAUUGCAUCACUACCAGAUGGACCUGCGUUGUAUUAGCUAGUUGGUGGGGUAACGGCUCACCAAGGCGACGAUACAUAGCCGACCUGAGAGGGUGAUCGGCCACACUGGGACUGAGACACGGCCCAAACUCCUACGGGAGGCAGCAGUAGGGAAUCUUCGGCAAUGGACGGAAGUCUGACCGAGCAACGCCGCGUGAGUGAAGAAGGUUUUCGGAUCGUAAAGCUCUGUUGUAAGAGAAGAACGAGUGUGAGAGUGGAAAGUUCACACUGUGACGGUAUCUUACCAGAAAGGGACGGCUAACUACGUGCCAGCAGCCGCGGUAAUACGUAGGUCCCGAGCGUUGUCCGGAUUUAUUGGGCGUAAAGCGAGCGCAGGCGGUUAGAUAAGUCUGAAGUUAAAGGCUGUGGCUUAACCAUAGUACGCUUUGGAAACUGUUUAACUUGAGUGCAAGAGGGGAGAGUGGAAUUCCAUGUGUAGCGGUGAAAUGCGUAGAUAUAUGGAGGAACACCGGUGGCGAAAGCGGCUCUCUGGCUUGUAACUGACGCUGAGGCUCGAAAGCGUGGGGAGCAAACAGGAUUAGAUACCCUGGUAGUCCACGCCGUAAACGAUGAGUGCUAGGUGUUAGACCCUUUCCGGGGUUUAGUGCCGUAGCUAACGCAUUAAGCACUCCGCCUGGGGAGUACGACCGCAAGGUUGAAACUCAAAGGAAUUGACGGGGGCCCGCACAAGCGG